ACAUCCUCAGGCCCCUUGUGGGGUCCCUGACUCUCGCCCCGCGGGUACCCGCUCGGGCUGCUGGGCUGCCUCCAGCACGGCCGCCGCUCUGAGCGCCGCCAUCAUCGUCGCCGCGCAGGAUCCUUGAGGGAAGAAUGUGGCAGAGUCCGCCUUGGAGCCGAGCUGGUGGUGGUGGGGCGGGCGGCCUGGCUGUGGCUGCGCAAAGUGGUGCCUCCUCCGGAGUCUAGGUCACCAUACACCGCGCACCUCCCUAGCGCAGUGUGGGACCCCUCAGCCUAAGGACGCGCAGCAUGGGCAUGUUCUGCGGGUCCUCCUAGAUGAUGGAGCAUCCUGCGCCCCACCAUGCCCUGUACUCUCUGCUGGAACCAGAGGUGACUGGGCUGGAGGAGGGUCCGGAACAGAACUUAAGUAUGGAAGGACUUACCACAUUCACAAUGGCUGCUCUUCUCUCUCUAAGAAUCUCCAGCAACACACGGCAGGACUGUGAAGCACAGAGUCCCAUUGACACGUAGCAGAAUUGCUGAGAUGAGCCAGUCGAAGUCUCUGCUGUCUGGAGUAGCAGUGGCCACGAAUCUGGCUGAAAUGUGGGGUACAUGCUAAUGUAUGAGGAGACCAGUCCUAAACCACUGGAGUAGCUGGUAACUUCAACCUGCUGUGGGAAGGACUGGGCCUCCUGGGAAGGAAAUGACAGAGCUCCCUCCCAGGUCCUUGGUCAAAGGAGACAUGACAGAAGACAAAGAAUAGGUACAACAAGAUGUAAAGUUUAUAUACAAAGAAUAUAAUGUUUAUCUGAAAUAUUUACAGUGUCGGUUAAAGCAAUAUUUUUACAACUUUUCCAGGUCAACUACUAUGUAUAUUACAGGCCAUCAUGCAAUGAGGAAUGGUUACUGUGUGCUUAUAAAGUGAAGUUCUGUAGCUGAGAUGGGAAUGCAUGCAAUGGCUGGAGUUAAUGAGGGCAUAAAAUGAGCAAUGAAAUGUUUGAAGACUUAGACACCGAGUCUCAGGCUGGAACCGAGGAAGACUUUGAGAUAACAGCCAGCUUUAUCUCAACCAAGUCUGGGACCCACAAGCUUAGACCACAGAGAA
ensembl:antisense Gm26771 uncharacterized LOC110320032